AUGUGAUCGCACGUGUAUGUUUAUCUGUAUCAGUGUGUAACAGUGAUGAACAGGGUGUGGUGUUCAACCAGGUUUUGAUGCUUGAACUGAGUUUCCCUUGAGGACUGUUGUUGUGAUCAACGCUGCAGAUGAGGAGCAACAGAUCCUCCCUAAGCAAGCCAUGGCAUUAAUACCAGCGCCAGUGCUCGGCCUCUUGGAUUCUUUAUUUGCUGUAAGACUCCGAAUCUGAGAGUUCACCUUCAGCCCGACUCACAAGACAGGCGGCAGAUCGUAAUUCAUCGCUGGCGUCUCUGCGUGGCUUGUUUUCUUUUCUUUCCUGUCCGGUCUCUCGAAUUCCGUCCUCUCCCAUGUCGCUCUCGGGGAUGUGAUGAGGUCAGAGCGCUUCCUGACGUGAGGACAGCGGCUCUCUGAUGACCGUGAUGGAGGAGCAGAAAUGUGGCGUGUUGUUGCUGAGAGUCACACUGAGGGGACGUUCGGUGACACGCGGCUGUGACUCGCCCAACCUCCCGCUGAAGAUAGUGUGAUGGGGCGCUUCCUGAUCUGGCUCCUGAACCUGUGAACUGUGCAUGAGCUGUACUUCCUACACACACACACACACACACACACACACACACAGACACACACACACACACACAUUUCUCUGUCUCUCUCUCUCUUUCUCUCUCUCUCUGUUUAAGAUGAAACAUCUGCGCUAAAGUGGACAUGUCUUUGACCCCUCUCUCUCUUCAUUCCGAACAGCUGGGACACAUCAAUUCAGCUCAUCAUUCUCACACACACACACACACACACACACACACACACACACACACACACGCACACGCACCCCUUCCACCUGUUAUUAUCCACUGUCAUUCCCUCGCCUCUUGUUCCCUACUGGGGAUAAAGUCACAACAAAUGUGGUAUGAGUCUGAUUUUUGAAAAAGAAAAAAAAAAAAAAUCAGAUUUCAUGUGGUCCAAUCAGAUACACCAAAAAGUUGGAUUUGGGUUUGAGUCAUGUGACCGGAGUGAACAGAACCAUCAUGUCCUUCAUCGAGCCGUAUGAAAGCGUUGUGUAUGGAAGGUUUCAUGUUGAGAAAAAUAUUUUAGCCUUGUUAUCAAUUUUAAUCAACGUUAUUCAAUAUUAGACAUUAAAUGUAAAUAAAUAAA